UACGAAGGGGGCUAGCGUUGCUCGGAAUCACUGGGCGUAAAGGGUGCGUAGGCGGGUCUUUAAGUCAGGGGUGAAAUCCUGGAGCUCAACUCCAGAACUGCCUUUGAUACUGAGGAUCUUGAGUUCGGGAGAGGUGAGUGGAACUGCGAGUGUAGAGGUGAAAUUCGUAGAUAUUCGCAAGACACCAGUGGCGAAGGCGGCUCACUGGCCCGAUACUGACGCUGAUGCACGAAAGCGUGGGGAGCAAACAGG
rnacentral:rRNA from 1 species